ensembl:lncRNA
CCUAGGAACAACCUUUGGUCUUGUUUCAGGGCCAUGUUGUCUUGGCACUUGUAAACAGAAAAGAAACAAGUCAAAGACUAAAUAUAACUGGGUGGCUAAAAGUAGAUCAGGAAAGCAGGGAAGCAAGUGGUGUUUAUUACUCAGCUAUGACAGCACCUGCAGGCUUGUGUUUGAAAAGAGUAUGGAGAGCAUCUGCACCUCCAACAGCACCUGGAGCAACUGCAAGCAAGCAGGCUUAGCUGUGAAGGAAGGGAGCAGGCACGACACAACAGUGACACUGCUUGGCAGCAAGGAACAGAGAGGAGCUGAACCAGGACCCUCCGAAUGACAGCUGUGCUGACAAGCAGUCCUUGGAAGUGUGCGAGGAAAUGAUACCUGCCUGGCAGUCUUGCUGCUGCUCCUCCACUGCUGUGCCCUCUGUGCUGAAGAUCAUAAUGAAAUCCUAAGCAGGCAGAGAACCUCCUAAAAACCAUCCAUUGUCCCUGAGGCCCUGAGCUCUGACAGGUGGUGGAUUGCCUUUCUGCUGGUGUUCAGAUGCCUGCAGUGCAGGAACCAGUAUUCACAUGGCCAACUUCCCUGUUAAAGAAAGGAUUGUUCGAUUCACCAUGCACAGUACGACUGGUCAAAAUUAUCUGUGGCUGAACUCCUCCUCACUCAGCAUCUCCUAGGUGACGGUGACUGCACGUACUCCAACGUAUUUUAAAAUAAAAUAUCCCAUGGUUACAAUUACCAGUUGAAUUAUGAGGAUAAUGGCAGUGUUUGGUAUCUCACAUAAAGAACUCCAGGAGGCCACUUGGAUUGUAAAUACUGUGCUUGUUAAUCCAAAUCAAAAAAAAAAAAACCCACAUGGGACAGAAUUUAAAGUGCUGUAUGCAAUAUUUUCAUUUCUCUUGUCUAUCUGAACAGUACAAACAUCAAUGGAGCUGGUUUGGAGUUAAGAGAAAAGGG